rnacentral:rRNA from 1 species
AACGAACACUGGCGGCAUGGAUUAGGCAUGCAAGUCGAACGAGAAAGCUCUCUUCGGAGAGUGAGUACAGUGGCGAACGGGUGAGUAACGGGUGGAAAACCUGCCCUUCAAUGGGGGAUAACAGUUCUAACGAGCUGCUAAUACCGCAUACGACCUUCGGUCCGCAUGGUCUGAAGAUGAAAGGUGGCCUCUCUUUGAAGCUGCCGUUGAAGGAUGGUUCCGCCUCCCAUUAGCUAGUUGGUGGGGUAAUGGCCUACCAAGGCGACGAUGGGUAGCCGGCCUGAGAGGGUGUCCGGCCACACUGGGACUGAGAUACGGCCCAG